AAUAAAGUGCCUGAAAAAGGAUUAUCGUGAUAGGAUAAAUAAUGUAAUUUUAAGUUACCUUUAUUA
rnacentral:tRNA from 1 species